UCGGGAAUCUUGCACAAUGGGCGAAAGCCUGAUGCAGCAACGCCGUGUGGGCGAGGAAGGUCUUCGGAUCGUAAAGCCCUGUUGUUGGGGACGAAGGGCGAAGGGUUAAUAGCCCCUAGCCUGACGGUACCCUUCGAGGAAGCCCCGGCUAACUCCGUGCCAGCAGCCGCGGUAAUACGGAGGGGGCUAGCGUUGUUCGGAAUCACUGGGCGUAAAGCGCGCGUAGGCGGUAUUGUAAGCUAGAGGUGAAAGCCCGGGGCUCAACUCCGGAAUUGCCUUUAAGACUGCAACACUAGAAUCCGGGAGAGGUGAGUGGAAUUCCGAGUGUAGAGGUGAAAUUCGUAGAUAUUCGGAAGAACACCAGUGGCGAAGGCGGCUCACUGGACCGGUAUUGACGCUGAGGCGCGAAAGCGUGGGGAGCAAACAGGAUUAGAUACCCCUGUAGUCC
rnacentral:rRNA from 1 species